rnacentral:lncRNA from 1 species
UCAACAGAAUGGAUGACACCCACCUGCAUUGGUGAGGGUGGGCAUCAUCCAGUAGAUGUACUCUGGUCUACUGAUUGAAAUGCUAAACUCUUCUGGAAACACCCUCACCUACACACCAGAAAUACCAUUUUACCAGCUAUCUAGGUAUCCCUUCACCCAAUCAGGUUGACACAAAACCAUCACAGGCUUCUCAGCUGUAAAUGGCCCUCCACACUUCAGUGUGCUGACCAGGACUGCAACUGCCGAUUGGGUUGCCACCUCAGGCUCUUGGGAUGUUUUAUAUGGAUAACUGGAUUUGGAUGUUGACAGCUUCCACCUCUAGCUGCGGAUGCCUGCCCCAGGUUGCUGGUGGAGAUCAAGUGAGAGAGUGGAUUGAAAACAUCUUUACAAAGGCCAGGUUUGGUUUUGGAUGUGGGUGCCAACUGCCUACCCUGAAGUCAAAGACCGUCUGGGAAGAGAAGUUCUCUUUGCCUUUCUCCCACGACGAGCGUGUUGCUGAGUUAUUUCCAGGAGCGUGGGGUGAGCCUCUUUGAUCUCAGGGUGCCAUUGCCUUCCCUGCCUCACUGUGAUCGGCUCAGCGUUCCCAAGCGGCCAGGGCGCUUCCCACUCAGCUGGGCAGCACCGCCCAAGCAUUUGGCAUUUGGGGAACAGAAAGUUUUUAUUUUUAUGAGCUGUUUCUGAGCAAUGCCUUGUUUUCUCCUGUCUGUUUCUAGGCCACAGGAUUGGCAGCUGCAUCCAACCUCCAGGUCAAAUUUGGCAGAGAACCAAGCAAUCCUGUCAAACAGAAUGCCCACUGCUGCUCCUUCCCAUCUCGAGGAACUGUCUCUUCUCAAUGUUUUCUUUUGAUUUCCUCUGACAGUCUUGCUGCUCUUCCAGAGGCACAGGAACUCAAAAUUGGGAAGGGUUUGAAGGUGACCCCCACGAUCAAGUGCAGUGCCUCCCGCACGCGUGACUUCCAGCCUCCACAUGCACACUUCCAAUAACUGCACACACACCCUCCAGCUCAGGCCUCUUGGAUUUCAGACACUCCAGUGGUUGAAGGGUCGCUAUGUUAGGAUCUCUGAUCUUCCUCUCUAACCAGGCUAUCCUCAGGUUCUAGUUCACUUCUGGGGGUCACCCUGAGCCAAUGUAACCCCUCUUUCCUGUGUCAAUCCUUUAGGUCUUUGAGAAGAGUGGUUGCGUUUUCUCUGACCGUGUCCCACCCUCUGGCCAAGCCUUCAGCUGAAAAGAGUCCCUCAGUUGGGGCGAGUGUAUUGAGUCCUUCAUUCAGAUGAACCCGAUACUUCAGGAGGGGCUGAGCAAUAGGCACUACAGGGGAGCCCUCACCUCCCUUGUUCUGUGCAUAAUACCUCUAUUAAUACAGCCUAAAUUUGGUCUUGCUGAUUUGGCAGCCACAUCACACUGUGCCCUUAGACUAAGUGACUGUGCUAAUAAUACACCAGACUUUUCAAGGUGUCUGUGCCUUUGGGGGUCAUGUCUGACACAUGUUAUAGAAGCAGAAACAGCCUACUAAACAAAUACUGCUGUUUUCAUAAAGUUAUGUUCUGGACCAAGAAAAUUGAGCUAUCAUUUACAAGUCCAGUGUCUCACCCUGUGCUAAGUGCUCGUAUGAGGCACUUUUGCAAUUUUACAAAUGGGAUAACUGAGGUCAGUCAGGGUAGAGCUACACAGCUACCAAGUGACAGCCAGGUGGCAAACCUAAGUUGAUUGAUUCCGAAGUCACCCUAAGUGACACUGCCUCCCUAUAGCCCCUGCUCCUUCACAUUCCCUGAGCCAGUCUCUAUCCCGCCUGUGAUUUCUUUCUCUCUCUGCUGUUUUGACAGUUAUUUGUUCCUCUGGUGAUUUGCCUGGUUAUUGCUAGACCAGCAGUUCUUAACAUGCAGUAUGAGGACUAUU